GAGAGCACAGUAUGAUGAAAGUUGUAAGCUGUGUUCGGGGGGGAGUUAUUGUCUAUCGUUGGCCUCUACCGCGGCUGCUGGCACAGAGUUAGCCGAUGCUUAUUCCUC
rfam:Triticum aestivum genome assembly, contig: Triticum_aestivum_CS42_TGACv1_scaffold_527067_6DL